AUGAUAUCGUUGCAUGACCUGUACACGGUCCUCGCGGCGGUGGUUCCGCUCUACGUGGCGAUGAUCCUGGCGUACGGCUCGGUGAGGUGGUGGGGCAUCUUCACGCCCGACCAGUGCUCCGGCAUCAACCGCUUCGUCGCCAUCUUCGCCGUGCCGCUGCUCUCCUUCCACUUCAUCUCCACCAACGACCCCUACGAGAUGAACCUCCGCUUCCUGGCCGCGGACACGCUGCAGAAGUUCCUCGUCCUGGCCCUGCUCGCCGCGUGCUCCCGUCUGAUCCCCUCGCGGCUGGACUGGUCCAUCACGCUCUUCUCGCUGUCGACGCUGCCCAACACGCUCGUCAUGGGGAUCCCUCUGCUCGUAGCCAUGUACGGCCCCUACGCUGGCUCGCUCAUGGUCCAGAUUGUCGUGCUCCAGUGCAUCAUCUGGUACACGCUGCUGCUCUUCCUCUUCGAGUUUCGCGCCGCUCGCAUGCUAAUCGCUGAUCAGUUCCCCGACACCGCGGCGUCCAUCGUGUCGCUGCAUGUAGACCCCGACGUGGUGUCGCUGGAGGGCGGCCGUGCGGAGACGGAGUCCGAGGUGGCGGCCGACGGGCGGUUGCAUGUCACCGUGCGCCGGUCCUCGGUGUCGAGGCGGUCGACGCUGCUGGUGACGCCGCGGCCGUCAAAUCUGACGGGCGCGGAGAUCUACUCCUUGAGCUCGUCGCAGAACCCCACCCCGCGGGGCUCCAACUUCAACCAGGCGGACUUCUUCGCCGUCGUCGGUGGUGCGCCGCCCGCCAGGGUGGGCGACUCGAGCUUCGGCGCCUCCGAGCACUACUCGGUGCAGUCGUCGCAGAGGCCGACGCCGAGGGAGUCCAACUUGGAGGAGCACUCGGCAGGGCCAAAGCAAGCCAUGACAGACGCCGGAGCGCAGCACAACCAUGACGCCAAGGAGCUCCACAUGUUCGUGUGGAGCUCCAGCGCCUUUCCCGUCUCAGAAGUAGUAAGCGGCUUGCCGGUGUUCAGCGGCGGUACAGACGCAGCGCAUCUCGAUGCCGCCGCCAAGGAAAUCCGCAUGGUUGUCCCCGCGGACCCGCCGCAGAAUGGCUCAUGCAAAGAUAACGGGGGCUACACCGCGGCAGCGAGGGGAGGCGGAAAGGCAGUGGAGGACGACGGCGACGCGGUGCAGGCCGGGCCGGACAGGCCGACGGCGAAGCUGAACUCCAGCCCCGGCGAUGAGGACGGAGCGGAAACCGGGAAGCACCAAAUGCCGCCGGCGAGCGUGAUGACACGGCUCAUACUAAUCAUGGUGUGGCGCAAGCUCAUCCGCAACCCCAACACCUACUCCAGCCUAAUCGGCCUCACCUGGUCCCUCAUCGCCUUCCGGUGGCACGUCUCCAUGCCAACGAUGGUCGAGAAGUCCAUCUCCAUCCUCUCGGACGCUGGGCUGGGGAUGGCCAUGUUUAGCCUGGGUGGGUGCCCACGCCCCUUGUGCUCCUGUCUCCGCCUAGCCCUACACCGUGUCGCACCGCAAUUAAUCCUCCCCCCUCGCCCUCCUGCCCACACCCCGCAUGCAUGCAUAACACCGUCAACCUUUGCCUGGGCAGGACUGUUCAUGGCGCUGCAGCCGAGCAUCAUCGCCUGCGGCAACUCCGCCGCCGUCGCCUCCAUGGCCGUCCGCUUCCUCGCGGGCCCUGCCAUCACUGCUGCCGCGUCAGCCGCCGUCGGUCUCCGUGGGACGCUCCUCAAGGUCGCCAUUGUUCAGGUAACUACGCACGCAUGCCAGCUAAAAAAACACCACGCAUGCAUACACGUGAAAAGGUGUUUUUUUUUUUGCAUGUUCUCCUAG
rnacentral:rRNA from 1 species